rnacentral:misc_RNA from 1 species
CUCUCUCUCUCUCUCAUUCAUUCUUAUAUUCUUCUUUGCUCCUGCACUCUACCCGCCAUUCUUAUCUUCUUUUUCCUCCACAAACACUCCUUCAAUCUUAGAAUCUCUUUUUUCAUCCUCUUCUUUAACGAGAUUAUUAUUUUUUGUAAGAGAAAUUAGGAGUAAAACAAAAUUUUGAAGUCAUUUAUCUAUCAAUGGAAUCAGGAAAUCUUAGAAAGGAAGAUUUUCUUGGAGGUUGGAGCUGUCCAAGCAGAGCAAGUUGGAUUCUGCUGCUAUGAUCCAGAAGGUUGUCAAGAGGUUGUUGGUGAGGAACAAGAAGAAGAUCACAGUGACUAGGAGUGAGGUUAAUGAGACAGUGGAGAAGAUUUUAUUGAAAGAAACACGGAGUUGAUUCAUAGAGAUUUAAACUCGCGUUUGAUUCAGAGAUGCUCAUGAGUUUUGACGCUGAAUUCCAUGCGGGGCAUACAUUAUGGAGUUAGGGUUUGCAAGAGGGCAGUGAGGAAGAAGGUGAUUAGGUAUAUCAGGAGAUGAUUGAUGUAAUUGUUACAGCAAGGUAGCGGAUAUGGCCACCAAGCCUGAUUCUGUUGAUCAUGCAGUAAAGUAGAGUGAAAGUUUGGUCAAGAACAAUAAAGAAAAUCCCAAUCAAAACCUAGAUGCUGUAGACCCCUUAGAGUUUAGACUACAAGUGCUCCGAACUUUGCUUCAAAUUCUCCCAGCCAAUAUGGCUAUUACUCUUUUUGUCAUGAUGGUGCAAUCAUGUUUGGAAAAAAGAAAAAGAAGGAUAAUUUAUUAUUUAGUACCUGUAUUUUAUCAUUAUUAACAUUUAGAUCCUUAUAUUUUCAAAAAUAGACCAUUUCGUCCCUCAAUUUUGCUUUUAUUACACAUUUGAAUUCUUCUAUCCAUUCUGGCUGUUAGAAUUUAAGAUAAACUACUAUUUAAUCCUUAACUUCGCAAUUAUUUACAGUUUCAUCCCUUAAAUUUGCAAUUAUUUAUAGUUUCUCUCCAUCACUUUGUCUAUCUCCCCAAUUUCUGUCUCUCUCCCCAUCUACCUCCCAUUUAUGUCUAUUCCUUACCCUCUCUCCCUUGUUUCUCUCUCUCUCUUAACUAUCUCUCUCCUUUUCUAUCGCAUCAGAGAGAGAUAGAGAUUGGGAGAGGGACAGAGAGAAAUAGGGGAGAGAGAGAAACAAUGAGGGAGAGAG